AAGUGGUAUUUAAUUUUUAUAAAACAAUCAUUUUACAGAAAACACAUUAAUUUAACAGAAAAAACAUUAAUUUAACAGAAAAAACGAUGAGACAUGCUUCAAAAAUAUAUAUAUAAAUUGAUAAGAUCAGACAUUAUAUUAAAUUAAUAAAAACGAACUGAAGUAACCAUAAACUGCCCAAAUUUAACCUAAACCAAGGUCUAAUUAUCUAAUGG
rnacentral:misc_RNA from 1 species